rnacentral:rRNA from 1 species
GUCUUCGGCCAUGCCACCCUGAACAAGCCCGAUCCUGUCUGAUCUCGGAAGCUAAGCAGGGUCGGGCCUGGUUAGUACUUGGAUGGGAGACCACCUAGGAAGACCAGGUGCCGUAGGCA